UUUUAUUUAAUUUUAUUUUAUACAUCGUCAUCCUAAGGGUAGGAUACCCAUCCUGCAGUCAUCAAUCAAGAUUAAAAAUCAUUGCAAUCGUGCGUGCAGGCAAUGAAAUACACGUGUGUUGUAUCGCGUUAAAAUAAAAUAUAAAAAAGUCGACAAGUAGAUUCAGUGUUGAUCGUCGCAUGUUAAAGUUUCGUUUGCUYGGUUAAGAAACUCGCAAGUUUCUUUUAUUCGGUUUAAAAGUGUGCUCAUCGUCAUCCUCAGGGUAGGAUACCCAUCGUGCAUUCAUCAACGAAGAAAAAACAUCAUAGUUGGAAUAGUGUUCACAUUUCAUUCAUUAAAUUCAUUUAGAAAUUCGUUUAACACUAGAUUUGCUCACUAUUAUUUUGUU